GUCCAUAUUACAGUACCACUACUUCACCAGAGAAACCCUCAAAUUUACGUUUUUCCCCCCCUUCUGAAUCAUAGCGAUGGCGAGAAACACGAGAGCGAAAUCCUCGUCGUCGGAGCCAUUAUCGGACGGUUCAGAGGAGGAGCAAGUCAACGAUCUAGUCAACGAUGAGGAAGAUGAGGAGGAGCUUGAAGCUGUCGCUAGGUCAGCAGAUGAUGACGGCGAUGACGAAGCUGUUGCUGAUAGAGAAGACGGUGAUGAUGAUGAAGAUGAGGAGGA
rnacentral:misc_RNA from 1 species